ACGCACCCUUUCGGGGUGAGUGGCGCACGGCUGAGUAACACGUGGGAAUCUGUCGUCGAGUGGGGGAUAACGCACCGAAAGGUACGCUAAUCCCGCAUACGUUCCGUAAGGAAGAAAGGCGCAAGUCGCUGGACGAGGAGCCUGCGGCCCAUCAGGUAGUUGGAGGGGUAACGGCCCACCAAGCCAAUGACGGGUAGCUGGUCUGUGAGGACAACCAGCCAGACUGGGACUGAGAACGGCCCAGACUCCUACGGGAGGCAGCAGUAAGGAAUUUUCGUCAAUGGGGGAAACCCUGAACGAGCAACGCCGCGUGGAGGAUGACGGUCUUCGGAUUGUAAACUCCUUUUAUGAGGGACGAUAAUGACGGUACCUCAGGAAUAAGCCCCGGCUAACUCUGUGCCAGCAGCCGCGGUAAUACAGAGGGGGCAAGCGUUGUCCGGAAUUACUGGGCGUAAAGAGCACGUAGGCGGUCGCGCAAGUGGUGUGUGAAACCAAUCAGCUUAACUGAUUGACGCCAUGCCAAACUGCGCGACUCGAGUCAUGGAGAGGUUAUUCGAAUUGCUGGUGUAGUGGUGAAAUGCGUAGAGAUCAGCAGGAAGACCAAGGGCGAAAGCAGAUAACUGGCCAUGGACUGACGCUCAGGUGCGAAAGCGUGGGGAGCAAACUGGAU
rnacentral:rRNA from 1 species